rnacentral:rRNA from 1 species
GACGAACGCUGGCGGCGUGUCUAAUACAUGCAAGUCGAGCGCAGGAAGCCGUCUGAACCCUUCGGGGGGACGACGGUGGAAUGAGCGGCGGACGGGUGAGUAACACGUAAAGAACCUGCCCAUAGGUCUGGGAUAACCACGAGAAAUCGGGGCUAAUACCGGAUGUGUCAUCGGACCGCAUGGUCCGCUGAUGAAAGGCGCCCCGGCGUCGCCCAUGGAUGGCUUUGCGGUGCAUUAGCUAGUUGGUGGGGUAACGGCCCACCAAGGCGACGAGGCAUGUCCGACCUGGGAGGGGGAUCGGCCACACUGGGACUGAGACACGGCCCGGACUCCUACGGGAGGCAGCAGUGAGGAAUCUUCCACAAUGGACGGAAGUCUGAGGGGGCAACGCCGCGUGAACGAUGAAGGCUUUCGGGUCGUAAAGUUCUGUUGUAAGGGAAGAACAAGUGCCGCAGGCAAUGGCGGCACCUUGACGGUACCUUGCGAGAAAGCCACGGCUAACUACGUGCCAGCCGCCGCCGUAAGAC